GGAAACGUGGCCGAGCGGCUGAAGGCACCGGUCUACUAAACCGGCAUAUUUGUAAAAGUAUCGAGGGUUCGAAUCCCUCCGUUUUCGCCA
rnacentral:tRNA from 1 species